rnacentral:lncRNA from 1 species
GCCCAGCUACAAACCCUUCUUGGUGUGUCCCUAAUAGAGAUUUUGUCUCGGCAUUCUACUGAUGAGAUUUACCUUGGGCAGAGAGACACUCCUGAAUGGACUUCAGAUGCUGAGCCCCUGGCGGCAUUUGAGAGAUUUGGCAGCAGGCUGAGGGGCAUUGAAACAAGAAUUAACCAAAUGAACCAAGACAGGAGAUGGAAUAACCGAUUUGGGCCUGUUGAGAUGCAAUACACCUUGCUCUAUCCCAACACCUCAGAUUACUCAAGACAGGGUGGCCUCGCUGGCAAGGGAAUUCCUAAUAGUGUCUCAAUCUAAAUUUUUUGUUGAAAUGAUUAGUGAGUGUUUGUUUGUGAAGCAAGGAAAUACUUUUGGUUCAAAAUCUUUGUAUCUUCGAACUUUCUUGAUCACAUAGUGAAGGCAAGUAAAAUAUGCAGAUUCUCAAACAUGCUAUGCAAUCAUCCACAUGCCACAUAAAUGUUAUUUUGCAACUAUGUAUGCUUAUAUGAAAAUUGUAUUUUCAGAUUUGCAUACAUGUUCUCCAUAUACACACACACAUGGUAUCCCAAAAGAAUCCAAAGGACUAAGGUGCACAACAAUCAGCUAAUGCAAUCGAAAACCUGACAAGAUAUCCUUGAUGGUCAUUUUUCUUGGCCGGACUAGCUUCCUUCUAGAAUCUGCAUCCUCUCUAGUUUUGCAGCAUUUCCCUGGAUUUUGUCCAUCCCAUAUAUACAUUAGUUACUGGAAGCCCUUGAAACCACACUCCCCUACCCAAAAGGGGAAAAUACAGGGGAAGGUGGGAUUUCAUCCCAGGUCUCUACCACCUUCACUGGCCAACACCCUUCAAGCAGGGGCUUUGACUAUCAACAGAGGCUUUUCUAUAAAUUGAUUGCAUCCAUGAUUCAAACUUAAAUCACUGAAAGUAGAAACGUUUUGGUAAAGAAAAUGCUUCUACAGAUUGCCACACUCAAACCGUAUUAAAAUUGGUUUGAUCUUUGAUCCAACCUGAGUCCAAUUGUAAAGAAUCCCCACAUUCUAAAAUUAUCAAGCAAAAUACAUAACACAAUAUGAGUACAAAAAAGAGCGUAGAAAUCCAAAUUGAAUGCACAAAAUAAGAGGUAAAUAUGGAAAACAGAAAAUUAAAAAUGAGAAACAAGAAUAACAAGAUGAAUAUUAAUCAGAAACUUAAGGGAACAGAAUGUAAGAAAAAUAAAGAGAAGAAUUAUCAAAAGGUUAACAUCAGUAUUGACUUACCUGUUGCAAUGAACAAAACUAAAACCCCCCAACCCAAUACCAUCGCCAUCAAAAUAACCUGAAAAUUGAAUGACACCCCAGCAUCACAGUAAAACCUAACUCUCUCUCUCUCUCUCUC